UGCCCCCGGUGUGUCCCAGCAUCGCUCUGAGAGAAGUUCUGAAAUCCUUUAUCUUAACUGCCGCAUCCCUAGGGCCCACAUCACAUUUCUGGGAGUAUCGUUCUAGGAUCCAUAUCUUUCUCUGGCAGUUCUACCUUCUAACGUGUAGACGCCGCUGCUUAAAGUCCUGCAUUGCUCAACCCCUCCGUCUCUGAUCCAUGAAGAGUUGAACGAGGCUCUAUUUGUAUGCAGAAUCCCUGCUGUGUCAGUGGCCGUAGAGGAUUGUGAUUUGUACCUAUUGAGAUCCUCCCUCUGUGUGGGGCUGUGUUACAGGGAGCUCGCUGUGUUUUUCUAAGCAUUGAACGGCCUGUUUUCUGGGGUCACUUCAGAAGACUGAUCUUACCUUAGAAGGAAGCCCAGAGGAAGAGGAAAGCAAGGAGUCAGAAAUGAGUCGUUCCCAGGCUUGGAAGAUGUGGGCUUCAGCAGUUGUGGCAGUUGCUCUGAGGCUUAUGGGGUCUUCCCUGACCAGGGAUGGA